ACGAACGCUGGCGGCGUGCUUAACACAUGCAAGUCGAACGGUAAGGCCCCUUCGGGGGUACACGAGUGGCGAACGGGUGAGUAACACGUGGGUGAUCUGCCCUGCACUUCGGGAUAAGCCUGGGAAACUGGGUCUAAUACCGGAUAGGACCACGCUCUGCAUGGAGUGUGGUGGAAAGCUUUUGCGGUGUGGGAUGGGCCCGCGGCCUAUCAGCUUGUUGGUGGGGUGAUGGCCUACCAAGGCGACGACGGGUAGCCGGCCUGAGAGGGUGUCCGGCCACACUGGGACUGAGAUACGGCCCAGACUCCUACGGGAGGCAGCAGUGGGGAAUAUUGCACAAUGGGCGCAAGCCUGAUGCAGCGACGCCGCGUGGGGGAUGACGGCCUUCGGGUUGUAAACCUCUUUCAGUACCGACGAAGCGCAAGUGACGGUAGGUACAGAAGAAGCACCGGCCAACUACGUG
rnacentral:rRNA from 1 species